CCCUUAGAUGUUCUGGGCUGCCCGCGCGCUACACUGAUGCAUCCAACAAGUUUUUUCCUUGUUCGAGAGGACUAGGUAAUCUUAUGAGAAUGCAUCGUGAUGGGGAUAGAUUAUUGCAAUUAUUAAUCUUCAACGAGGAAUUCCUAGUAAGCGCGAGUCAUCAGCUCGUGCUGAUUACGUCCCUGCCCUUUGUACACACCGCCCGUCGCUGCAACUGAUUGGGUGACCUGGUGAACAUCUUGGACCGGCCCACUCAAUUUCGAGAGGACUGGAAAAGGCCGUAAAUCAGGUACAUCUAGAAAUUGCAAAAGUCGUAACA
rnacentral:rRNA from 1 species